ensembl:lncRNA
CUCUCCCUUUAGCCUUGGGAUCCUCCUCAGUCCCACCUGAGCUUACACUUACACCUGCAGUGAGGCGAGACUAUCUGAGCCAGGAUCUUCACCCAGGCUAGAACACAGCGGGCAGGAAGCUGCAGGGGCUUCGUAUGUAACCAGUAGCAACUGUGCUAAUCUAAAUUCCUCAUGAACACCUUCCAUCAAGCGCCUGAUGAUCCAUGCAGGACCCUCCCUGGCCUUAAAGAUGCGAGGCUGUAAGGUCCCACUAUUCCCACAACUGCUCCCAAUAACCCCAGUGACUGCUGGGCUGUCACUCAAAUCAAACUUCCGACCAACACUGAGCAGAUCAAGCCUGCUGGCAUUGAAGCAUAUACACACAUUCACACAGAAGAAAGGGGCUUUAAAGAUGAAUGUGUGUGUGGGGGGGGUUCCCUGUCAGCACCUGCUGGGCCUCACGGAGACGCUGCAAAGACAGGGAUACACUCCUGUGCUCAUACACACCACGGGGCAGUAGCUGCGACGGAGACACUUUCAUUUAAGUCGUAUUUACACAACCUCCCUCCAAUGUUGCCUCCACCAUCCAUAAUCUGAGGAACAUGCUGACCAGCUGUGGGCCAGGUUGAAGAAACUCACGUUUUUCCCAUAUUCAAUUGAAAUAAUACAACUCCUAAUAUAAUGUACAUAAUAUACAAAUAUGUUAAGUGCCAUACAACACAGUGACUGAAGAAAAUAUAUAUGAAUUCAUUUGUUGUUCUUCAUGUGACUUGGUUCUUCUUCUGUUGCACAAUUCUUCUUCACAAUGUAAAUGGUGAAGCGAUACUGCACAGCAGUUCAUGUUUGGUAAAAGGAAGCAGCCGUCGGCUUUAUUUUAUCAUGAACUUACCAGGGCUGAGCUGCUUUCUUCUUGUAAAUAGGACAUUAUACGCUAUACAUUUUUUUUUACUGCAUUUUUACUGUUUUGGACUAAAUCCUUGGAUUCAUUGGAUUUUUUUAAUGUCUUUGAUGGACUAUGUGGAUUCAUUGUAAGACAUGGCAUCGCUUUAAAGAUGAGCAGUUCUGGCUUGUUUGACGCCAUUUUUUUUUCCAAGUUUGACAAAAUAAUUGACUGCGUUUGCUGUGUCUUAGAAUGGUUACUUUAUAUGGUUAAAGACGGAAGAUUCUCAACUUUCAAACGGUAUAUGAUACUUGUGAUGUGCUGCUGUAUUUAAGAAACAUUUAAAAGCACGAAUGAGUGAAAACAUGCAUUUUAACCUGCAUUCGGGAUGGUGGACAUUAUUCAAUGACGCGUCGACGCAAAUAUUUGUAGUCAACAUUAUCAAUUAUGUUACUAAUCAUUUUUGUAUGACUGUAUAUGUUGCACACGUUGUGGUUGGCGUGAAUCUUGAGAAUUAAUUUUUUUCUUUCUUUUGCCCAACCCCCCGCCCCACCCCCCUCUGGCUACAAACUCCGCCUAUGCAUGUACCCCAAAUGACAAAAAGGUACACAGGAGUCUAAAGUUACACACACACCGUCACAUCAACGUUCACCUUGAGUCGGACAAUUUGAUCAAUCUCACAGAAACGCAGACUCAUUUCUCUCUACGAAUGAGAAAGCUCUCAAUUAAUUUUAUCUGCACAACCAAAAAAAAAAAAAAAAAAAAAAAAAAAAAAAAAAAAAAACUCACAGACACAUGCAGCACAUGCACGGGGAUGUACACACCAGGUCCAUUAAGCUCAUGUGUUGGGACCAAACCACGACCUAGAGUGCUCUUUCAUGGCUCCAUCAUUACUUCAAUAAGUCCUCACAUUAAUCUUAGCGCAGCAGAGCACACCAGGCUAUUACUAAAGCAGCCCUGCACCACAGAGGCCUGCUCUGAAACACACCCAGAGCUGAAAAAGUAGAAAAAUGUACUCUGGAUACUUGAAAAACACACAGACGUGCUCUGUUUGACUCAAUUUGGAAGGAAAUCAUCCACUUCUGAGACGGGGGGAAGAUUUCAUACACCUAUAGUCAUUCAAAUGCAUGAAAUCAUAUAUACAUAUGGUUGAAAACCUUUUGGUAAAAAGUCCCAUUAGAAGAAUUUUCAGAGUACGUGUUCAUUUGAUACACAGCCUAACAUUAUUUUAAGAAACCUGGUAUCAUUUGUGGCCAAAAACGCCUUUUGCCAAAGUCUCUUCAGACCUAUGUAACAUAUGAUCACACCCUAAUGAAGCUUGGGAAAGCGCGGUGAAGAGUGUCGGAUCAACUCCGUUGCCUGCUUUUAGUGAAGAGCACCUGGCCCAGAAUUAAUCAGUAGGACGAGAUGAGGUGACAAGUCUAGGCUGCCUUCACAAACACAUCGUCAGUCACACACAAAAUGAAAAAGAAAUGCAGUUUAGGCUGUUGUGUUCAGCUGAAGAAAGAAGAAGAAGAAAAAAAGAGAAAAGAGAGAGGAACCGAGGGGAGGCCUCGUCUGUCUGGACAGGAAAGGGGGUUCUUUAACCCCUGACCCCAGUCCACUAUUUGUCUGAGGGCGUGUGUGUAUGUUUAUUCUUCAGAAUGUGCCUCAGAACAGGUUCUGGAGGCACUAGCCUGGUGGACACAUGGCACUGGUCAUGGAAGCCCAUGCAGGUGCUCCAGCUUUGGGCUGCGAGGGGUUUCCUGCCCUGAGGGGCGAGAGACUAUUUCAUGUGGGGUGUUCAUCAUCUGCAGCGGAUUCCUGCUGUUCCUCAGCACCAAGAGGAAAAGAAAAAAGGGAAGGAGUAGGAAAAGGAAAAGGUGGAGAAUGUGUUGAGCUGUAAAACGCAUAAAGAACGUUCACUUUUAUGAUGCUCUUGAAUGAGAAACCAUCACUGAUGCAAGGACCACGGCAAAAAGUGAUAAAAACUUUCCUCAGCUUUCCUCUGUUCUUUGUUUUCAUCAAUUUAAACCACAAAUGUGGGAUAGGAAGUAGUAAGAGAGUGGUUGGGGUCAAGGGUCAACGUUACACAGGCUCCCCUGAAGCUAAAGGUGGUCAAAAUAAACUUUGGGCGUUUUGAGUUUCUGGGCCUCCC